GAUGAACGCUAGCGACAGGCUUAACACAUGCAAGUCGAGGGGCAGCACAGGUAGCAAUACCGGGUGGCGACCGGCGCACGGGUGAGUAACGCGUAUGCAACUUACCUAUCAGAGGGGGAUAACCCGGCGAAAGUCGGACUAAUACCGCAUGAAGCAGGGGUCCCGCAUGGGGAUAUUUGCUAAAGAUUCAUCGCUGAUAGAUAGGCAUGCGUUCCAUUAGGCAGUUGGCGGGGUAACGGCCCACCAAACCGACGAUGGAUAGGGGUUCUGAGAGGAAGGUCCCCCACAUUGGUACUGAGACACGGACCAAACUCCUACGGGAGGCAGCAGUGAGGAAUAUUGGUCAAUGGCCGAGGGGCUGAACCAGCCAAGUCGCGUGAGGGAUGAAGGUUCUAUGGAUCGUAAACCUCUUUUAUAAGGGAAUAAAGUGCGGGACGUGUCCCGUUUUGUAUGUACCUUAUGAAUAAGGAUCGGCUAACUCCGUG
rnacentral:rRNA from 1 species